rnacentral:rRNA from 1 species
AUUGAACGCUGGCGGCAGGCCUAACACAUGCAAGUCGAGCGGAUGAAGGGAGCUCGCUCCUGGCUUCAGCGGCGGACGGGCGAGUAAUGCCUAGGAAUCUGCCUGGCCGUGGGGGAUAACGUCCGGAAACGGGCGCUAAUACCGCAUCCGUCCUGAGGGAGAAAGUGGGGGGUCUUCGGACCACACGCUAUUAGCUGAGACUAGGUCGGAUUAGCUAGUUGGUGGGGUAAAGGCCUACCAAGGCGACGAUCCGUAACUGGUCUGAGAGGCUGAUCAGUCACACUGGAACUGAGACACGGUCCAGACUCCUACGGGAGGCAGCAGUAGGGAAUAUUGGGCAAUGGGCGAAAGCCUGAUCCAGCCAUGCCGCGUGUGUGAAGAAGGUCUUCGGAUUGUAAAGCACUGUAAGUUGGGAAGAAGAACAGUGAGUUAAUACCUGGCUGUUUUGACGUUACCAACAGAGUAAGCACCGGCUAACUACGUG